GAGUACGUGAAACCGUUUAGGGGUAAACCUGAGAAACCCGAAAGAUCGAAUGAGGGAGACUCAUCGUUAACGUGGCUCGCUUUCUUGUGGUUUGCGAUGAUUGAGAGACGUACUUCGGUGCUUAUCGAUGUCACGCGAUCACUGAGGUAUGUCGGGUCACGUCGGCGUGCACUUCUCCUCUAGUAGAACGUCGCGACCCGCUGGGUGUCGGCUUAAGGACCGAGAUCGUCGACUGUGCCGUUCUYGGACGGUGCAGACGCUUGGUAUCCUGGCCGGCAGCUCGGCGGUAAUCGAAUGGUAUCGAGCCGCAUUUGAAUGCGUUCAGACUCGUUGCAAGUUCGAUCGCCUUAUCUGGAGUGCGGACCUAGYGCCGUUCCGGAGGGUGGUUGGCUGUUGGUUGACGAUGUUCUCGAACCGGCUUAUAAUUGAACUGCGAUACCGGUCGGCGACGCUAUUGCUUUGGGUACUUUCAGGACCCGUCUUGAAACACGGACCAAGGAGUCUAGCAUGUGCGCGAGUCAUUGGGAUAAUAAAACCUAAAGGCGCAUUGAAAGAGAAAAUCGACCUUGCGUCGAUCGAGGGAGGAUGAGCGUUGCUUUUGCAUCGCUCCGCACUCCCGGGGCGUCUCGUUGUCAUUGCGACAUGAGGCGCACCUAGAGCGUACACGUUGGGACCCGAAAGAUGGUGAACUAUGCCUGGUCAGGAUGAAGUCAGGGGAAACUCUGAUGGAGGUCCGUAGCGAUUCUGACGUGCAAAUCGAUCGUCGGAACUGGGUAUAGGGGCGAAAGACUAAUCGAACCAUCUAGUA
rnacentral:rRNA from 1 species